rnacentral:tRNA from 1 species
AUGUAGCUCAGUGGUGGAGCACUUGCCUACCAUGCAGGAGGUCUUGGGCUUGAUACCCAGUAU